rnacentral:rRNA from 1 species
CCUACGGGGGUCAGCAGUAGGGAAUUUUCGGCAAUGGGGGGAACCCUGACCGAGCAACGCCGCGUGAACGAAGAAGUUCUUCGUAAUGUAAAGUUCUUUUAACAGGGAAGAAAGAGAAAUUUGACGGUACCUGAAGAAUAAGCUCCGGCUAACUACGUGCCAGCAGCCGCGGUAAUACGGGGGGAGCGAGCGUUAUCCGGAAUUAUUGGGGGAAAAGGGUGCGUAGAUGGAAUAGUAAGGCUUUUGUAAAAAUGCUGGGCUCAACCCAGUAGGGCAAAAGAUACUGGAAAGCGAGGGUAUGACAGAGGCAAGUGGAACUACAUGUGUAGCGGUAAAAU